rnacentral:lncRNA from 1 species
AAGAAGUAGCAAGGGAGUGGCUUUGUGCUGCUCGGAAGGCUGAAAGAGGUUGCGAAGGCUACCCGGUGGAGUAGUGGCUGCUGGAGAGUUGUAUGUCAUAAUAGUAAUGAGCCGGCGCGCCCGGCUUUUAUAGCGGCAGGGUCCCGGGGCCUGCGCUACGGGGCCCCGUACGGCAUGGCCAGGCCGAGCCGGUUCGCAGUCAGUCUCGGCUCAGGUGUGCCAAAACGGUCGGCGGGUCAAGGCAACCGCCUCCGCGUUGACCGCCCCAGAACCACCUGCGUUGUGUUGCAAAGCAAACCAACAUGUCAUUUCGUUGAUUGUAUAUAUACCAGCACUCAGGGAGAAAGGUGAGGGCGCGCGCUCCUGUUGCGGGGCGCCAGGAAACGCCCUCCCCAAUUGCCCCGCCCGUGUGGCCAAGCGUAAAGGCCUCAUUAGAUUAUGUCUGAAUGCGCAAAGAGCAGGCCGCAAGCGCAGGUUUGGGGCUUUGCUUGCGCUUCCCUCUUGCACGCUCCCACGCACCACGCGCCCUGCUAUCCACCUGGCAGCAUAUGCAUCCUAGCACUCUAUCUUGCCAAGAAGCCAAAGCGCGCACAAGACAGCCAGCUAGAAAGCCAGCUCCCCGCGUCUCGAAAACUUCCAGGCUGUCCCCGACCCGCGCACACAUACGUUGCUGAGUGCUCCACCAAACAAUCCGCUUCUAAACAGCCCACCUCUAGAGCCCAGCAUGCACGCACCCUUGGUUGGCCGCGCCAGGCCUCGGCUUCCGCGGACGGGGCUUCAUCCAGCUUAGCGCGGGUGAAGUGGCGCUCCCUUGAGUGCUAACUGAUAAACAAAAGCUGCUGCGCACACGCGUCGGGUGCAUUGGCGGUAAAAGGGCAGCGGGGCGCUGCGGGUUGCAAAAGCUGCUGAGUUUGGCAGUUUUGGGCGGGAAGUGAGGUGGCUUUGACUGACUUGGUAGGCUUGCUGCUACUGCAACUGGUACUGCUGUCGAAGACUUUUGAUAGAUGUGUUUGGACUGCCGCUGUAUGUGUUCGGGGGCGUCUGCGGCGUGGGAUGGCGCCACAUAUGGCCGCGGUGGAUUGCAAGCACGGCGCCCAUCAUUUGGCUGUCUUGCCUUUAAGCUGGCUGCAAUAAGAGGCGCGCCGCCCCCGCCCCGCCGCUGUGCGCUAUCCUGAUCUCUAGCAAUACUAUUGACUACAUGCAGUCUCUCCACCCCUUGCGGCGCUCUGAGACCCACGGAGCCAUUACAAUGUGCAGCAGCAGCUCGCACUGUCUCGCUCGACCCGCCGCGCGCCACCUAGCCAGCUUACAAACUAACACGUAGCAGUAGCAGUUGCAGCAGCAAUUGAUAACACGGCUUCUAUGGCGGGCGCUGCCGAGGCCUGGCCCUUCGUGGUGCGCGGCGGGCGGGGCCCGCCCACCCCGAGCUCGCUAGCACUGGCGCUCGCUCAUCCUUCGCCAGCUAGAUAGCGCGCUCUGCCUUGCACCGUCCUUGGGCCACGCACGCCGCCAGAAGCCUGCAUGGCGGCAUGGACCAUCCUGGCCGUUCACUCCGGAGAUGCUGACAGCCACCGCCGCCGUACGUGCUGGAUGGUGGGCAACGACUUGGCACGGCAACGAUGGCGGCGGCUCCAUCGCAGGCGCAGCGCAGCAGCAGCGCCACCGCCAGCAGCACCAGCAAGAGCCCGGGAUCCGCCGGGCACGUGGGCGGACGGGCAGGUGAGCUGACUCAUGUCGUCUACCAGCGUGCGUGUGGCGGCGGACGUGAGAGCAUGGAGGAGUACUUGCGUGGCUGGAUGGAUGACGGUCGGGCGCAGUCCUGCACGCUCCCACACGCACGCGUUGACGCUCACGCGAAAUGCACAAAGCGCAUUCCGUUGCUCCACAGCACGGUUCCCUUCCUUUGACGCACGAACACAUGCCCGCACAAAACACGCACAGACUCGGAUGACGCGGGACGGCGGCUGCGGUACCGCCGGGACCGGCGGGACCCCGACCGAGACCGGGACAGGAGCGCCGCGCCCCUUACCUGGGCGGCCCCGACGGCGCCGGCACUGGUGACGGUGCGGAGCCGCCAACCUCAACCGCCGCCGCCGCCGCCAGCGUCGGCGUCGGCGUCGGCGGUGGCGGGCCGCCACCAGUCGUCGCGCGAUUACGGUUUUGCAAGGACGCGGCAGUGGCGGCCGCCGCCGCGGCGGCGUCGCCGCCGGCGCCGCCGUCCGCCCGAACCGCGGCGGCGGCACGGCGCACCGCCUUUGUGGCGGCGGUGACGGCCGCCGCCGGCGCGCACGCUUUCUACGACAUCACGCUGGAUCUUGGAUCCGAGAUUCCGGACCGGCAGGUGGCGGCGCUGCUGGUGGAGCAGGAGAUGGAGGGGCGGCGGCACGGCUACCUCAGCCUGCUGUACGGCUUCAAGUGGCAGGGCCGCGUGUACAAGAGGUGGGGAGGGACGGGCGGGGCGGUGGAAGGGAGGGGAGGUUGGGAAGGUAGGAGGGGCGGGUGCAGAGGCCGGCCCUGCUGGCUCUGUGUGUGUUUCAUGUAUGGUGCUCACCCCCUAUCAGGCUAUCACUAUCCCGCUGUUUGGGCCUAACCUGUCCGGCCAUGCGUUCUGCGUGUCCCUGGUUCUACUUGGGAACGGUGAACUGGAACAAACCACAUCCAACCACACACACACACACACACACACACACACACACACACACACAAACGCCACGCCCCCUCCCUCCUCCACCCACCCUCUCAGGGACGGCGAGGAGGUGUCCCCCCUGGACCUGGUGUUCAGUGGGUGGAGCCACGCGCUGCCGCGGGCCGAUGCGCUGGAGCUGGUGGUGGCGGUGCUGCCGCCGGCGCUGUGCCCCUGCCUGGCCAACAGGUGGGGUAAAUUGAGGGACGUGCACGUGUAUGUGUGUGUUACGGAGCGCAAGGGAAGGAAACACGACGUGGUGUCGUAUCUGAACUAUGCCCUCUCUCGCGACGCACACCACCGGCUCCGCUGCAUGCACCGGCUCUCACUUCACAUGACCCCGCGAACUAAACAGGCACCUGCGUGCACUUCAACACAGCCCGGCUGAUGGAAGAGCGGCGAGCUGGCGGCGGCGGUGGCGGCGGCGGCGAGGAGGAGGCUGGGCAGGUGGCAUGCGGGGUGACCUGGCGGCGGCGGCGCUGGCCAUGGCGCGAAAGGCGGCGGCAGCCAAGGCAGCGGCGGCGGCGGCAGAGGCCGCGAAACGGGAUGCGGAGGCUUACUGAUACGGUGUGCGUACUCGGGCCGUAUCAUGUGGGUCAUCAGGCGUGUUGUUGUUCAUAUGAGGGAUGGGAGGAGUCCAAAGGUUAAGUUGGAGGGUGAUGAGGGCGCGCGAGAGCCAUCCACGAGCAUCAGGGGUCGUAUCUUGUUUUUGGGGAAAUGUCUAGCUCCAGACAAAAACGGCCCGGUGGCCGCCGUCUUUUGUCUGGGCACAUGGCGGUUUGGGGGCUUCUCCAUAGGAAUUGGGACAAAACCCGCCCCAAACCCGGGCCAACAAAGUCUCGCCCCAGACAUUAGCACCCGGGAGGAAUGUCUAGGAAACGGCCAAAAUGGCCAAUUAAUGUCUGGAGACAUUAAGAUAGGAGCCCUGACGAGCAUGUACAGCUGGUGCCUGAUGGUGGUGGCGUUGGGUUUCGCUGCGAUUUUGUGCAUACGGCAUGUCCAGUGUUGUUGAAUGGAGCUUCCAAGUGUACCGUAUUGUUGUCGCACUGCCAUGAUAAGUACUGUCACACAUGUGGAUUGUGGUGGGCGGCGGUAACCCAUGCGAGUCCGAAUGUCCGAACCAGCCAUCCACCAUGAUGCACCCAGCCAGCAGCAGCUAGCAGUAACUUGACGCGUAAUGCGCAUACCCGAACAAAGAAGAGACGAAGAGACGAAUAGGCGCAGGCCGAACAGCAGCAGUACGGUAAGCACAGGUCUGUGUUACAGUUGGAGGAGCCUGGCUUCCCAGCAGGUCUUGCACUCCUUUCGUUGCCUCAUUGUGGCAUGCAAUACGCUUCAGUCCAGCGAUUGAUGAGUUCAGGGGAUACGUUUUGUCCUUGUGCCGGACAGCACACAUGCUGAAUCGGGUCCUGGACUCCUGGGUCCCAUCCUAACUCGCUCGUGUGUCUUGCUUGUCCUAAGAUCCUCUCCCUUUCAUCUCCUAUAAUAUCCAUCUACAACUGCCUUACAAGUCUUCCCCACCUGUCUAAGCAACAGGCCGUACAUACACACGCACAUGCAAAUGGAUGGGAUCACGAAUGCACAACCAAAGUACGUAUGGUCACAGUCGGCCGGCCUGUCCUAAGUUACUACAUACGCCCACUGCCGUUCCGGCAUGUGGUCCCAAGCAACAAACUGCUUAGCUACAAGUCUACAACUAAAGGAAACGGUGUCGCACUGCCGCUAGCUCUUGUCCAGAGCUGAGUGGCGGCUAGCUGGAUAGCCGAAGUAAGAAGUUGGCCAAGGCCUCAGAAGACGGUGACCAGCACCUUAACGGGCCUUGACGUUGCGGGUGUGGGCUUGUCAACCUGCGAAAGCGUGGAAAGAGUUGAAUCGUCGUCAGUUGCUAAGCGAGAAACAGGCCACUUCGUUGUGCGGACGGACGACAGUACCCCAGCCUUAUUACUUGACCCACCCGCCCCAUCAGCUAGCUAGCCGCUCCCCAGAUCAGCGGCAGCAGUGUCUACUGGAUGGUGGUGCGAUGCGAAAUGACCCACCUUGCGGAGAAGGGUGCGGCGCAGCCCUUCAAGGAAGAGGGGGUCCACAACGCCGCCCUCCGCAUCCGCCGUCUUGGGCGAGCCACGCAUGAAGCGGGCCUCGGGCCGGUAGGGCUUCACCCCACCGGCAGGCGGCGUGCACAGCAGCGCGCACAGCUGCGCGAAGAGCACAGGGUCCUCUUCGCCGGAAGGAGCGGGCCUGUUCCGCAGGCCGCAGUCGACAACCUGCCCGUGUGAGAGAAAGGAAGUGUGUCAGCAAUCAAGGUGUUUUCGGCGGGGAAUAGCCCGCGUGAGUGCGACUUAGGGCAAAGUAAGGCGAGCGAGCGCCGGGACAGUGGGCAUCAGUCGACUGAGAGCGUGCGUGCCCGCCCCGCACAUCGUGUGCGUGCCACCCGCCCCACCCGCCAACGCUGCGGGUCCCUCACCUGCGGUUUGCCGCGCUGCUUAGGGUGCUCAAGAGACUUGAGUAGCAUCUGAAGGCACAUCUUGAUGCCGAGGGAAAGACGACCCCGAGGAAUGUGCGUAGGAGGGCGAGCUGGAAGGUGUGCAGCGUGCACGGACGUGGGCGGGCGAGACGGAGUUGCACUGACACAAGCGAGUGGCGUCUGUCUAGUGCGGUGGUCAGCAAGCGGGGAGGCUUGUGGGGCGAACUGGGUCGCGACAAGAAGUAGCAAGGGAGUGGCUUUGUGCUGCUCGGAAGGCUGAAAGAGGUUGCGAAGGCUACCCGGUGGAGUAGUGGCUGCUGGAGAGUUGUAUGUUAUAAUACUAAUGAGCCGGCGCGCCCGGCUUUUAUAGCGGCAGGUCCCGGGGCCUGCGCUACGGGGUCCCGUACGGCAUGGCCAGGCCGAGCCGGUUCGCAGUCAGUCUCGGCUCAGGUGUGCCAAAACGGUCGGCGGGUCAAGGCAACCGCCUCCGCGUUGACCGCCCC